UGCGUAGGCGGCCGAUCAAGUCAGGUGUGAAAGACCCGUGCUUAACAUGGGGGUUGCACUUGAAACUGGUUGGCUUGAGUACGGGAGAGGCAAGCGGAAUUCCCGGUGUAGCGGUGAAAUGCGUAGAGAUCGGGAGGAACACCAGUGGCGAAGGCAGCUUGCUGGACCAAAACUGACGCUGAGGCACGAAAGCGUGGGUAAGCAAACA
rnacentral:rRNA from 1 species